rnacentral:tRNA from 1 species
AGUGUGUUGGCAGAGUAGUGCAACUGAUUUAGGAUCAGUUUAUGGAGUGAACCACACACUA